GAUGAACGCUGGCGGCGUGCCUAAUACAUGCAAGUCGAGCGAACAGACGAGGAGCUUGCUCCUCUGACGUUAGCGGCGGACGGGUGAGUAACACGUGGAUAACCUACCUAUAAGACUGGGAUAACUUCGGGAAACCGGAGCGAAUACCGGAUAAUAUAUUGAACCGCAUGGUUCAAUAGUGAAAGACGGUUUUGCUGUCACUUAUAGAUGGAUCCGCGCCGCAUUAGCUAGUUGGUAAGGUAACGGCUUACCAAGGCAACGAUGCGUAGCCGACCUGAGAGGGUGAUCGGCCACCAUGGAACUGAGACACGGUCCAGCCUCCUACGGGAGGCAGCAGUAGGGAAUCUUCCGCAAUGGGCGAAAGCCUGACGGAGCAACGCCGCGUGAGUGAUGAAGGUCUUCGGAUCGUAAAACUCUGUUAUUAGGGAAGAACAAAUGUGUAAGUAACUAUGCACGUCUUGACGGUACCUAAUCAGAAAGCCACGGCUAACUACGUG
rnacentral:rRNA from 1 species